rnacentral:tRNA from 1 species
GGAAAUGUGCCUGAAUAAAAGGGUAACUUUGAUAGAGUUAACAAUAGAGAUUUAUACCUCUCAUUUCCU